GCAUCGGUGGUCUAGUGGUAGAAUACUCGCCUGCCACGCGGGUGACCCAGGGUUCGAUUCCCGGCCGAUGCA